CAGGAUUAUGGCUAUAUUAUGGAGCGAACUUGUGGAUCAAAUUCAACAUCACUUGAAUGAAUCUGCCGAUGAGCCUUUGAUUGUUGUUUUCCAGCAUAUGAAACCUCAAAAAUAUCGAGGUAAUUACUCAGUGCGUAGCUGCUGGUAUCAAACAAAGAUAUGGAUAAAUUCUACGUUGCCGCAUUCUAUUGAAUUUAAAUCCAGAUUACUUGCAGCACGUUAAUCAAACAUUGAGCGAAUCACUCGAACAAGUUCUCAACAAAGUUACUCUGUUAGAGAUGAGUUAGACAAAGGAAUUGUACUGUUUAAAACUAUUAGGGAUUUAGUUCAGUGCACGCAAGAAUCCAGCUAUUGGAUUGUGGCAAAAUUGGUUAAUUUGGAACUUGACCGGGCAUGAUCAUACUUGGCAUGCAACAAGUGUAGUCGAAAUGUGAAAAAAGUUGGAAAUAAUUACUUUUGUGCCAAAUGCAAUGAAGAAGAGUCUUCUGUUACUCACAGGUAUAGGCUUCAAGUUCGUGUUAUGGAUGGAACCGCUUUUAUCUCAUUGUUGCUUUGGAAUCGCGAAGCUAUGCAACUUAUAGGGAAGUCCGCAAAAGAACUUAAGGAAAGAUUAGUUGAGAUAUACUACUAAAUUUAGUUUGAUUAACCAUAAAAAUAUUUCUAACUUAUGAAAUUUGGUGCAGACUUCACUUGCGGAUGCUGACUGUUCUUAUCCAAGUGAAGUGGACGAUAUUCUUUAUAAAAAAUUCAUGUUCAAGGUUAUUGUUAAGCAAGAGAAUAUUGAGUCGCAGGUCUAAGUCUACAAAGUUCUUAAAUUUACUGAUGAUGAUGACCUUCUAAAGGAAUACAACCAUACUUUAUUCGAAGACAAUAUGAAUGUAAAUUUUUUGACAA